UACGAAGGGGGCGAGCGUUGUUCGGAAUUACUGGGCGUAAAGGGCGCGCAGGCGGCUCAGACAGUCAGAUGUGAAAGCCCCGGGCUUAACCUGGGAACUGCAUUUGAUACUACUGAGCUUGAGUACGGGAGAGGAUAGUGGAAUUCCCAGUGUAGAGGUGAAAUUCGUAGAUAUUGGGAAGAACACCGGUGGCGAAGGCGGCGACCUGGUCCUUUUACUGACGCUGAGGCGCGAAAGCGUGGGGAGCAAACAGG
rnacentral:rRNA from 1 species